rnacentral:tRNA from 1 species
UAUAUAUCAGUAUUAGUGUACAGAAGUUUUUGAUACUUUAGGAAAUAGACUUGGUCUGUUAUAUAUAU